GAAAACAUCAAAAUUAAAGCCCACUUCCUCCAUAAUUGCCUGAAGGUUUAACUUUCCUAAAAGCACCCUUUCCCAUUCAAAGCAACGCUCCCCUAAUAUCCCAAGAGUCAUUUCUCUUUCUAAACAUUUUACUCCGACGUUUUGAUUUCCAUGGAGCAAACAUUCAUUUUCCUCAUAAAAACCUCAGUCUGGUUCUCUCACCUAUUCGUCCUCUAACGUUUUAACUGCAUGCCUUGGUAACGCUUCUUCCAGGUAAAACCCUCUCCUUUGCUUCAGACUUUCAGUGGCUAUGAUGCCUGCCAAAGUGUUUGUUGUUCGAUGGACAUGUUGAAAUUUUAUGGAUUUGAACUCUUUCUGUGUAGUCUUUAUAUCGUGUAUGAUGGAGCAUAUUUUUUAUUUAUCUCUGGAUUUUGAAAUGCAUUUCCUUAUUACUGAAAUGGAGUCCCCUUCAAUAUAGAUUCUACGCUUUUUCAUUGCUCACCCCAUUCUUACUGCCUCUAAACAUGCAUGUGCCUCUGCUGCAAAAGCCGAAUUAACAUUCUCGUAUAUGGUCGCUCUGGAGACAACCACUCUUCCUCUUCCUUUUCUGGCAACUAUUCCCGAGCUUGAUCUAAAAAGAUCUCGAUUAAACCCUACGUCAAAAUUGAUUUUUAUUGUCUUCUCCAGAAGGUGGGACCCAUGAGUCUCUGAUCGGUGCCCUUGUGAGUCCAUUUUCCUCUAGUCUGUCCAACUUCGUUAUGUAUUUUUGAAUAAAAGAGACAAUACCUUUACUGGAUUUCUUUAUUUUUUUCAUGCACAUAUUUGUUUCUCUUUGUCCAGAGGACCCAAAGGGAUACACAGAUCAUUCGCUUCUGGGAAUUGAGCAGUUAUCAAAAGCCCAGGUAAGCCAUUCAAACCAGUCAGGCACCAUACUCUGAUUUAGCCAUUCUAAGUUCACUAAUUGCCAUACUUCUACUGAAACAGGAAAGUGAAGAAAAACAUGUGUUAUGUUGUCUGCUGCUUCCCCAUAUCUUGGGCAGUUUGUAUUUGUUACUAAUCUCUUGAAAUGUAGAUUUACUUUAGUAGGGAUGUAAUUUUUUGAGAUGCGCCAUACUGUAAGCUUUAAUUUUAGAAGGGAGUUUUAGACUCCAUAGUGCUCGGUAGAAAUUCCUAGUUGAUAGUUGUAAUGUAUGCAUCGACCGCGUUAAAGGUAUUGGAGAUUAUUUCUUUCCUCCA
rnacentral:lncRNA from 1 species